rnacentral:rRNA from 1 species
GUCUACAACCAUGUCACCCUGAACAAGCCUGAUGUCUGAUCUCGGAAGCUAAGCAGGGUCAGGCUUGGUUAGUACUUGGAUGGGAGACCGCCUAGGAAGACCAGGUGCUGUAGGCA